GACGGAGGAUGCAAGCGUUAUCCGGAAUGAUUGGGCGUAAAGCGUCCGCAGGUGGCAAUGUAAGUCUGCUGUCAAAGCGUCUGGCUCAACCAGAUAAAGGCAGUGGAAACUACAUAGCUAGAGUAAGGUAGGGGUAGAGGGAAUUCCUGGUGUAGCGGUGAAAUGCGUAGAGAUCAGGAAGAACACCGGUGGCGAAAGCGCUCUGCUGGACCUAAACUGACACUGAGGGACGAAAGCUAGGGGAGCGAAUGGG
rnacentral:rRNA from 1 species